UGCCUCCCUAACAUCCAGGCAGACAUCUUUUCCCUUUGACCCCUGACCAUCUCACACUAUUUAGAGGGCACACCCUUCUCUUUCGACCACCCCCACCUUCUCCACCUCUAGGCCUGUUUCCUUGGGAGAGAGUCAGGAAGUCACAGGAGCUGAUAAAAUCUACUUCAGAACCACUCGGCCUGCGUAAUCUCUCCGGGGUGUUUGAGGGAGGAGCCUUAGGCCACUGGGGCGUCGAGGAAGCCCCCUCCCUCAAGAGCCCCCGCCCUUAAAAAAAACAAAAAAAACCCCGAGGAGUUCCCCUUAAGGUGGCAACCCUAAACCCGCUUUACCAGGAAGUAAGUCCCACUGAACUCAACGGGGCUGACUUCAGAGUAAAAACACGGCUAGGACUGGGCUGCGAGAGUCUCCUGGGCCGAAGGAGGGAGCGCUUCGUGGAGCUUGCUUGCUUCUUGUCAAGGGGGACGACCGCCGUCAGGGCCGCUUCCGGGGGUUGCACCAGAGCUCCGUAUCGGCGUGUGCGUCCGAGCCCUGUGGCGGGGUUGAGUUUGCAGCAGCCCCAACGCCGUCCUUUUUAUCACCUUCCUCAACUUUUACUAACUUUCCGCCUUGGAGAAAGAGAGACACGGGUGGAGGGUGGGAUUUCUCCAGUUUAUUCUAAAGAAAAUAAGCCCAGAUAGAGAAGGGAUGGGAACUGGGAAGCGAGUCCUGGCCGCUGCCGGCGGCGACAGGCUGGGGAUGGCUUCUAGUCCCUCUCACACCUCCUCAAAUCAGACUUCCACCCCGUGUCGUCUCCCUCCAAAACCCAGCCAUAAUUUACGCGACCAGACACAGACCGAAGGCCGGCAGGGAGUUCGUGGGAAGAGCUUCUCCCUCGCCAACAAGAGCCUUCCCGUUGGUGCCGCCGCUCGCUGUUGCUGCUGCUGCUGGUGGUGGUCACUUCCUGUUGUCCAGUGACUAGGUUCAAGACAGCUGAAAGUUUUGCCAGCUCGGUUGGGUCAUCACCAGCAGAUCGCUUAUGUGUUAGGGAUGGUUGGCUGGGGGAGCCCAUUCGAUGCUAUUUCCCACCAAGAAGGGAGGGGGAAGAGAUAGGGCUCCAGUUCCGCAAAAAUAGGGGUCUGGAGGGUGUGCGUGCGGACAUUUCUACACAAGUAGCCCUUUUCAAUCCCCGCGUGUGCAAAAGAACGAAUCCAGGUGAACCGCAGCCCUCUGCGAGUGUUACAGAAUCCUCCCGACAUUGCAAUAGGGAAUUAAAUACAGGCGGGUGCAACCGAUCCCCUUUCUCCUGGCGUGUUGGUAUGUCUGUCGACUACUUCGAAGCACAAAAGGACAGUUAUUUCGUUUGGCUGAGAUCCUAAACAGAUUUACUUGGAAGUAAGGCCCAUUGGAAUCUGUAAUCGCAAGCAAAUAUGUUUGAGGCAUCGUGUGUGUCUAGUGUGACAUUGCAUGUAUAUAGGUGGUAAAAGUAUUAAGGUAUUUCCGGCCCCCCACUUCCUAAUUUUUCCUAGUUUCAAUCCAGUUGUUAUCUAAAAGGUUUAUGUAUUUGUCAGACCGCAUUACUUUCUGAACUUUAGAGUCGUUUCUUAAGAUUUUGGGAGUUUCUAGCAUCACACAUGUUCUUAAAGGAUUUUAUUAAACUAUUCUCUUUUAAAAGUU